UCUUGUUGUUUUGUGUUAUCCAGGAGAUCCUGACAGUGAUGUGUGCAGCCUUGAUGAAAACACGCUCAUGUUGAAGAACCGAGACGUCAACUUCCUGAACACCGUUCUCACCCAGCUGCAAUUCGUGGUCUUCCAGGAGGCUGACAUCAUCAUCAGGCAGAACACGUCCAGAGACCGCAUGUUCUUCAUCGAGCACCGCCAGUUCCUGGUGAAGACCGACUUUUUCCAGAAGGAGCUUAUUGACAGAGACUACUUUGGAGAUCUGCCUCCUGACCAAAGGAAGCGUUUGGCAACAGUGUGAGCUAUGACCAUUUGCCAGCUCUUAUCCCUGCACGCAGACAGCUUCCAGCAGGUCCUACAGGCCUUCCCUAACGUCAGGAAAGAUCUGGAGAUGACUGCCCAAUAGCGCCAAGAGGACCUAAAGAAGGCACAACAACAGAGUGAAUCCAAACCUAAAGAUAUGCAGAGGGAAAACUGAGGAGAUAACUGAGUGAAGGGGCCUCGCACAACACCAUUCACUAACACUUAGUUUAAAAAACAAUGUAGAACCAAACAAUGUUACACAUUUUUUGUAAAUAAAAUGAACAGAUACUGGUAUGCUG